rnacentral:snRNA from 1 species
AAAUGUGAUCUGACUGCGACCUUGGUCAGUCACCAUCAUUCUUGAUUCAGCUGAUUUGGCUAUUGGACAAUCCGUCUCCACUCUCACCAUUCUUCUGUGUGUUUCUCCCACAGUUUCCAACUUGCUGGAAAAGAACAAACUUCUCAAUAGUGGAAAAUUAUUCUUUGAUCAAUGGUAUAAAAAUAAUGCCUAUAGAACCAUAAAGUAAAAUAAUAAUAAUAGGCAUUUUACAUGCAUUAUCUCUUUGUAU